rnacentral:rRNA from 1 species
GGUAAGGAAGACAGACCCAGGGAACUGAAACAUCUAAGUACCUGGAGGAAGAGAAAGCAAAUGCGAUUUCCUGAGUAGCGGCGAGCGAAACGGAACAUAGCCCAAACCAAGAGGCUUGCCUCUUGGGGUUGUAGGACAUUCUAUACGGAGUUACAAAGGAACGAGGUAGACGAAGCGACCUGGAAAGGUCCGUCGUAGAGGGUAACAACCCCGUAGUCGAAACUUCGUUCUCUCUUGAAUGUAUCCUGAGUACGGCGGAACACGUGAAAUUCCGUCGGAAUCUGGGAGGACCAUCUCCCAAGGCUAAAUACUCCCUAGUGAUCGAUAGUGAACCAGUACCGUGAGGGAAAGGUGAAAAGCACCCCGGAAGGGGAGUGAAAGAGAUCCUGAAACCGUGUGCCUACAAAUAGUCAGAGCCCGUUAACGGGUGAUGGCGUGCCUUUUGUAGAAUGAACCGGCGAGUUACGAUCCCGUGCGAGGUUAAGCUGAAGAGGCGGAGCCGCAGCGAAAGCGAGUCUGAAUAGGGCGUUUAGUACGUGGUCGUAGACCCGAAACCAGGUGAUCUACCCAUGUCCAGGGUGAAGUUC